rnacentral:tmRNA from 1 species
GGGGAUGAUAGGUUUCGACGGGGAAGGCUGGGGGUGUGCUGCGAGUCGGGGAGGCUCCGUCUCCGUAAACCCAGGAGCAAACCCAAAAUGCCAACACUAAGGCAAACACUUGGGUUCCCGCUAUGGCGAACACCUGGGCUGCGGCCCCGGUCGCCAUCGCUGCGUAAGCAGAACGGGUUCCCCAAAACCUGACCGGGAUAUCCGGUCACGCCCCUCCGGUGUCUCGCAGGCGCGCCGGAGUGCGGUGACAUACAGUCUGCGCGCUCACUUCCAGACGCCGAUAAGGAAGUGCUAAGAUGCCUCGGCUAAUCCGGAUGCGGCGCGGUCGGCCGCGGCCCUCCGGGUAAAACGAAAGCGCCGACUAUGCUCGUAGAAGCGCAUCGUCGAAUUCUUCGGACGCGGGUUCGAUUCCCGCCAUCUCCACAC